GGGGAUGGGACAAAUGGACAAUCAUAUAUUCAUAUUCAUCAAAUCAAGCCUUUCAUUAAUUACAGGACAACUUCAUUUUUGUGCAAUUUUUGGCUGCUUUCAACAAGUGUUGAUUGGAUUUCUUAUGAUCUAAACGUCAUUUUGGAUCCCCAAAAAAU